rnacentral:rRNA from 1 species
GGUUUCCGUAGGUGAACCUGCGGAAGGAUCAUUAUUGAAAUAAACCUGAUGAGUUGCUGCUGGCUCUCUAGGGAGCAUGUGCACACUUGUCAUCUUUAUAUCUCCACCUGUGCACCUUUUGUAGAUCUGGAUAUCUCUCUGAGCGCUUAGCAACUCAGGUUUGAGGAUUGACUUUAUUGUCUCUCCUUACAUUUCCAGACCUAUGUUUCUUUAUAUACCCCAAUGUAUGUCAUAGAAUGUAAUUAAUGGGCCUUUGUGCCUAUAAAUCUAUACAACUUUCAGCAACGGAUCUCUUGGCUCUCGCAUCGAUGAAGAACGCAGCGAAAUGCGAUAAGUAAUGUGAAUUGCAGAAUUCAGUGAAUCAUCGAAUCUUUGAACGCACCUUGCGCUCCUUGGUAUUCUGAGGAGCAUGCCUGUUUGAGUGUCAUUAAUAUAUAUCAACCUCUACAACUUUUGUUUGUUGAGUUGUUGGAUGUGGGGGCUCUUGCUGGCUUCUCUGAGGUCAGCUCCCCUGAAAUACAUUAGCGGAACGAUCCCCGUUCAUUGGUGUGAUAACUAUCUACGCUAUUGACGUGAAGUAGUUUGGCUUAUAACAGUCCAUUGACUUGGACAAAUUUUCAUUAAUGUGACCUCAAAUCAGGUAGGACUACCCGCUGAACUUAAGCAUAUCA